rnacentral:rRNA from 1 species
GAUGAACGCUGGCGGCGUGCCUAAUACAUGCAAGUCGAGCGAACGGACGAGAAGCUUGCUUCUCUGAUGUUAGCGGCGGACGGGUGAGUAACACGUGGAUAACCUACCUAUAAGACUGGGAUAACUUCGGGAAACCGGAGCUAAUACCGGAUAAUAUUUUGAACCGCAUGGUUCAAAAGUGAAAGACGGUCUUGCUGUCACUUAUAGAUGGAUCCGCGCUGCAUUAGCUAGUUGGUAAGGUAACGGCUUACCAAGGCAACGAUGCAUAGCCGACCUGAUAGGGUGAUCGGCCACCCUGGAACUGAGACACGGUCCAGACGCCUACGGGAGGCAGCAGUAGGGAAUGUGCCGCAAUGGGCGAAAGCCUGACGGAGCAGCGCCGCGUGAGUGAUGAAGAUCUUCGGAUCGUAAAACUCUGUUAUUAGUGAAGAACAUAUGUGUAAGUAACUGUGCACAUCUUGACGGUACCUAAUCAGAAAGCCACGGCUAACUACGUG